AUGGCCAAGCCCGCGGCUCCUGCCGCCCCUCGCCGCACGGCCCACGUCCCUCACCAGGCCCGGGCCAGCCUGGUUCUGGGCGGAACUCCGGGCCCCUCAGGGCCAAGCUGACCCACUUCCAGCCCGAUGUCUCUGACCCACUCCCGGCCCCUCUUGCUGCCAUAGGCGGGCCUGCUGACCCAGUGUUCAACGGGCCCCCCAGGACGCCUUAUGUUUCCUCAACAGGCUCGCCCUUCCUCCGGGUCUUUCCAGAACUCCUCAGAACCGCCUUCAGGGCUUCCUGCAAACGCAGCGUGUUUACACAGAGCCCUGCUUUGGGUUCCAGCCCUGCUUUGGGUUCCACACGGGGGUCCUCGUGGAGGUGGAACCAGGAGGCUGGACCAGAGUGCUUUCUGUGGACAGGGACCCAAAGAUGAGAGACAGUUCAGUUCAAUUGCUCACCCCAUGGACCGCAGCACGCCAGGCCUCCCUGUCCAUCACCAACUCCUGGAGUUCACUCAAACUCACGCAUCGGUGAUGCCAUCCAACCAUCUCGUCCUCUGUCGUCCCCUUUUCCUCCUGUCUUCAAUCCUUCCCAGCAUCAGGGUCUUUUCCGAUGAGCCAGUUCUUCACAUCAGGUGGCCAAAGGAUUGGAGCUUCAUAGCAUCAGUCCCUACAAUGAACACCCAGGACGGAUGUCCUUUAGGAUGGACUGGUUGGAUCUCCUUGCAGUCCAAGGGACUCCCAAGAGACUUCUCCAACACCACAGUUCAAACGCAUCAAUUCUUUGGCACUCAGCCUUCUUCACAGUCCAAAUCUCACAUCCAUACA
rnacentral:lncRNA from 1 species